rnacentral:snoRNA from 1 species
AACCCAUGGUGAGGGCACCUUUCUAAUAAAUCCUUAUAUCUCUCCCAUGCAUCAUAUAGUGUUUCUAAAUCCAUUUGCACAAAAGAAGAGAUAUCAUUCCUCAACUU